UUCCUGUACUUGGUGUUACUGCGAAGGGGGGACGGAGAAGGCUAUGUUGGCCGGGCGACGGUUGUCCCGGUUUAAGCGUGUAGGCUGGUUUUCCAGGCAAAUCCGGAAAAUCAAGGCUGAGGCGUGAUGACGAGGCACUACGGUGCUGAAGCAACAAAUGCCCUGCUUCCAGGAAAAGCCUCUAAGCAUCAGGUAACAUCAAAUCGUACCCCAAACCGACACAGGUGGUCAGGUAGAGAAUACCAAGGCGCUUGAGAGAACUCGGGUGAAGGAACUAGGCAAAAUGGUGCCGUAACUUCGGGAGAAGGCACGCUGAUAUGUAGGUGAAGUCCCUUGCGGAUGGAGCUGAAAUCAGUCGAAGAUACCAGCUGGCUGCAACUGUUUAUUAAAAACACAGCACUGUGCAAACACGAAAGUGGACGUAUACGGUGUGACGCCUGCCCGGUGCCGGAAGGUUAAUUGAUGGGGUCAGCGCAAGCGAAGCUCUUGAUCGAAGCCCCGGUAAACGGCGGCCGUAACUAUAACGGUCCUAAGGUAGCGAAAUUCCUUGUCGGGUAAGUUCCGACCUGCACGAAUGGCGUAAUGAUGGCCAGGCUGUCUCCACCCGAGACUCAGUGAAAUUGAACUCGCUGUGAAGAUGCAGUGUACCCGCGGCAAGACGGAAAGACCCCGUGAACCUUUACUAUAGCUUGACACUGAACAUUGAGCCUUGAUGUGUAGGAUAGGUGGGAGGCUUUGAAGUGUGGACGCCAGUCUGCAUGGAGCCGGCCUUGAAAUACCACCCUUUAAUGUUUGAUGUUCUAACGUGGACCCGUGAUCCGGGUUGCGGACAGUGUCUGGUGGGUAGUUUGACUGGGGCGGUCUCCUCCUAAAGAGUAACGGAGGAGCACGAAGGUUGGCUAAUCCUGGUCGGACAUCAGGAGGUUAGUGCAAUGGCAUAAGCCAGCUUGACUGCGAGCGUGACGGCGCGAGCAGGUGCGAAAGCAGGUCAUAGUGAUCCGGUGGUUCUGAAUGGAAGGGCCAUCGCUCAACGGAUAAAAGGUACUCCGGGGAUAACAGGCUGAUACCGCCCAAGAGUUCAUAUCGACGGCGGUGUUUGGCACCUCGAUGUCGGCUCAUCACAUCCUGGGGCUGAAGUAGGUCCCAAGGGUAUGGCUGUUCGCCAUUUAAAGUGGUACGCGAGCUGGGUUUAGAACGUCGUGAGACAGUUCGGUCCCUAUCUGCCGUGGGCGCUGGAGAACUGAGGGGGGCUGCUCCUAGUACGAGAGGACCGGAGUGGACGCAUCACUGGUGUUCGGGUUGUCAUGCCAAUGGCACUGCCCGGUAGCUAAAUGCGGAAGAGAUAAGUGCUGAAAGCAUCUAAGCACGAAACUUGCCCCGAGAUGAGUUCUCCCUGACCCUUUAAGGGUCCUGAAGGAACGUUGAAGACGACGACGUUGAUAGGCCGGGUGUGUAAGCGCAGCGAUGCGUUGAGCUAACCGGUACUAAUGAACCGUGAG
rnacentral:rRNA from 1 species